AGUUUGAUCCUGGCUCAGAACGAACGCUGGCGGCAGGCUUAACACAUGCAAGUCGAACGCAUCGCAAGAUGAGUGGCAGACGGGUGAGUAACGCGUGGGAAUCUACCCAACCCUGCGGAAUAGCUCUGGGAAACUGGAAUUAAUACCGCAUACGCCCUACGGGGGAAAGAUUUAUCGGGGAUGGAUGAGCCCGCGUUGGAUUAGCUAGUUGGUGGGGUAAAGGCCUACCAAGGCGACGAUCCAUAGCUGGUCUGAGAGGAUGAUCAGCCACAUUGGGACUGAGACACGGCCCAAACUCCUACGGGAGGCAGCAGUGGGGAAUAUUGGACAAUGGGCGCAAGCCUGAUCCAGCCAUGCCGCGUGAGUGAUGAAGGCCUUAGGGUUGUAAAGCUCUUUCACCGAUGAAGAUAAUGACGGUAGUCGGAGAAGAAGCCCCGGCUAACUUCGUGCCAGCAGCCGCGGUAA
rnacentral:rRNA from 1 species